ensembl:lncRNA LINC02492 long intergenic non-protein coding RNA 2492
AUGAUAAUGUUACUGGUUGGAUGUCAGGAGCAGGCCAUGUGGAUGAUUAAAAGAUGAAUAUCAUAUACAGCAUGGAUAUGUUGGACAAAAAGAUGAUUCACAUCCCAGACAGAAUGGAGCAGAGUUGUUAUGUAAAACCUCCCAGCGAAAGAAAUAGUCCAGAAAGCUUGAAGAGAAACUGAAAUUUGAAAAAUCUACCUAAAAAGGUGAUAAAGGAUUUUCAGUUUUGCAAAAAACGCAAUACAGAGUGUCUUUGGAAAGAAAGUUCUCAUAUGGAUUUAAAAUAUGAUUCAAUUUACAGAAGUCAGAGUUGUUCUUCCAGAUGGCAUGAAUCCAACAGUGAAGAAAUCAGAAUACGUUGCUUUUGUGAGGGGCAGCUGCUGAUUUUCUCUGAGCUCCGUUUCCAGCCUUCACAUGCUCUGCUAUUCAUCACAGGGUAAAUUCUGACUAUAGGAGGUACUGACAGAAGAUUAGGGAAGAACAGAGGGCUAAAUGUUUAUUGACUUCUUGAAAAAUGCUAUGUGUCUUGCCAGACUUAGCUUACAAGUUUGGUUAAAGAGAGACUGACAUGAGCAUAAAGGAAGGGACAUUGAAAGAGGCAGAGAUGAAGGAAGAAAUUGUAACUUACUCCUUUUAUCCCACCCAUCAAAGGAAAGACAAGUUGACAAGUAUUGAUUCUGCAACAAACUGAGAAGAAACCUGGCGAUUCACAACAGAGAGCUGAGAAAUCCUAAGUCUGGAUUCCAGCUAAAUGGGAGCAGACUAAAUAGAGCGGCAGUCGGCGAACUACAUGUAGCCCAUGAACAAAAUCCGGUCCAGCACGUGUGUUUUUUUUUACGGCCCACAAAUGAGUCUGUCUUUACAGAUGAAUGUUAAAACUGGGUUGACAAGAGAGAACACUCACUUUGAACCGCAACUAAACAAAAUAUUAUCACCUUUCCCCUCAAAAAAGGUUUUUGUUCUUCUCAUUAGUAAAUUUGUAUUAUGACAAAA